UACGUAGGGCGCAAGCGUUGUCCGGAAUUAUUGGGCGUAAAGAGCUCGUAGGCGGCCUGUUGCGUCCGCUGUGAAAUCCCGGGGCUUAACCCCGGGCCUGCAGUGGAUACGGGCAGACUAGAGUGCUGUAGGGGAGACUGGAAUUCCUGGUGUAGCGGUGAAAUGCGCAGAUAUCAGGAGGAACACCGGUGGCGAAGGCGGGUCUCUGGGCAGUAACUGACGCUGAGGAGCGAAAGCGUGGGGAGCGAACAGG
rnacentral:rRNA from 1 species